CCAAACAAAGCCAUGAAAUCAACAUGCAGGUUUUGGUGCUACCUAGCAACAAAUCUGGAGCUACAAUAUUCAGUGUUGCUCAUCAACUCAGUGAUUGACAGCUUCAUCCAACUUCUUCAUCGCUUUUAUUUGGAUCCGGCCUUUACAGGCACUACAAAACUCUUUCAACUCAGGGACGAAGCACCCAUCUCCUUUCUCCACGAUGGUGUUAAAACUUGUAUACAAUUGUUUCACUAGAGGAUUGUGGCACAUUCAGUCAUCUGAAAACUGGACCGAAGGAUGAACCAGGAUUGUGGAGUUUGCAGUUAUUUUCCUGUUAUCUUGGUUAUUGGUUUUGAUUGCCAAAGGUUGUCACAUAAUGAAGCAAUGUCUGGGGGGGUUGCCUUGGAGUUAAACCAUCAGUGUUCCUCAUAUUUUAGGAAUGUGACCACACCGAGCAGUACUAGAUGGUAAAAUAGCUUUUUUGACUCUUAUAUUAUUAUUAUUAUUAUUUUUUUUUUUUUAAGUACUUCAUUUUCAACAUUUGCAGCAAAGAGGCUUUGGACAUUUUUCUCCUCUGCAGAUAGGAUUGUUUCUGACAAUGUUUUAUUUUGGGACAUUUGGUAUAAUGUUUUGGAAUCGUGCUCGGACAUGUUGCUGAAAUUAGACAAUUUAGAUGAAUUUCAAUAUGUGUAUCAACCGCUGACAUACCUGCGCACCUGCACAUAAAUGUGAGGAACCCGUCUUAUAGAGAUCCUUCAGUGCUUUGAAAAUGUGUUCAUUUUUACAUUUACAGGUAUGUGGGCUUGUUUAGGUGUUCGUAUGUUUUAGCG